rnacentral:lncRNA from 1 species
AUUAUUUGCAUUUAUUUUAUUUGUGGUUUUUAAUGUAAUUAAUUAAUUAUGUGUUAAUUGUUGGUUUACGUGUUUUUAAUAGAAAUAACUCAUUAAGAAUAGAAUGAGGGAAGUGAUGUGUUAGAAUAUGUUUUAGGCCUAUUUAGUAGAGGGGUAUUUUGGUAAAAGAAGAAUGGGGUAAACCUAACUAUAUAAAGACCAAGUUAGAGAGAGGUUGUCAUAAAUUAUGAUUUUGAUGGAGGUAGAGAGAGAAGCUCUCAAGAAAGAAUAGAUAAAGAGAAAGUUAGAGAAAAGAAGAGAAAGAAAUGAAGAGGAAAGCUAAGUAGAGGGGAAGAUUGAAGAAGAGCUAGGAGAUAAAGGACUAGAGAAUCCAACAUCAAUAAGGUAUGAGAGUAGUAAUUUAUUCAUUUUGAGAUGGUUCAUAAAGAGGGGAGAAGAACCUUUCUUCUUCAUACCCAAACUCUUUCAUCUCUAUGGGUUCUGGUUAAUUUGGGAAUUGGGAAUGUGUUCAUAUUCCUUGUUGAUGCAUAUAUGAUAUCAUUGCUUUUGGUUGAUUGCUCAAGCUUUGCAAAAAUUGUGGGUUUUGAGAUUUAUGAUAAAAUCUAAUAACUUGAAGAUAAAUGAUUAAUUUUGAUGAUUUGGUGUUUUUAACUUAUGUUUAAGUUGUUUUAUAUGAGUUAUAUGUUGGGUAUUAAGUGUAUGUACUUUUCCUAAGUUCAAAUAAGUGAUUUUGGUGAAAAUAAGCACUUUUGGGUCAAACCCACGUUCAAAACGCGUUUUUCUGGAAAUCUGCAACUUAGUGUUUGCGUCGAAUAGGUCGACGCUAUGGCGUCGCUAAUUCUUCUGCAUAAUAAUUAUGCAGUAUGAACAGGUCCUUGCGUCGAAACUUGUCGACGCUAUAACCGACGCCACUGUUGGUUUGACAGUUUGACUGUUGACCCCUGACUUUGACCAGACUGCGUUGACUGAGUAUUGACUUUCCGACGGUUCAUGCACCCGGAACCUAUUUUUCACAGUUUUUUGUGUAGAUUCCGAAUCUUAAGUUAGUUUUCUGGAAUAAUGCUUGCUUGUUAAUAAUUUCUUAUGUUAGAAGCAUGAUUUGGAAAUAAAAUGAGUUUUAUGAAUUCAAAUGAUUGAAUAAUUAAAAAUAUAUGCUAGUAUUCUAUUCAAUGAUAGUUGGAUUGUUGAUUGAUGGAAUAAAUGCAUUAUGUGUGACAAUGAUGUUUGUGAUUGAAUCAUAAUAUGAAUUGUUAAUUGAUCAUGGAGUUGAUAAUUAAUCGGAAUAGUAAUUAUGAUUGAUAGUAUACAUACAUAUUGGUAUAUGUGUAAAUGUAAAUAUCAUAUAAUUGCUAUGUGAACAUUUCAUGCACUCAUGUUGUAUGAUUGACCUUUGGUAAGGUUGGAAAUCCAAUGUAAUUGGUCAAAUGCAUAACCGNNNNNNNNNNNNNNNNNNNNNNNNNNNNNUGCUUAUGCCUUACUUUUAUUUACUCAAGUGUGGAUAGUAAUCGAGUUACUUGCACUUAGUCGGAUAUUUUGCUAACUCUCUGUUUUGUGUAUGUGCUGGACCUUUGGGGGUCCAGGUUCUCAGGUCGUGUCGAGUAUUGAUGAAGCUUCGCUCUGAUUAUGACACAGGAAAAAUGGGUUUUAUAUAUGUAGAGUCCUCUAGUCUUAAUUAUUUUGUAUAAUUAAUAAUACUUUAUUUAAUUCAAAGAUUUGGAAUAAACUCGUAUUCUACUAAUUAAUGUUAUUAGUAAGGUUUUGAAGUAA